rnacentral:rRNA from 1 species
UACAGAGGGUGCGAGCGUUAAUCGGAAUUACUGGGCGUAAAGCGCACGUAGGUGGCGACGUAAGUCGGGUGUGAAAGCCCCGGGCUCAACCUGGGAAUUGCAUUCGAGACUGCAUUGCUGGAGUACGGAAGAGGAAGGCGGAAUUCCCGGUGUAGCGGUGAAAUGCGUAGAUAUCGGGAGGAACAUCAGUGGCGAAGGCGGCACUCUGGGCCGGAACUGACGCUGAGGAGCGAAAGCGUGGGGAGCGAACAGG